rnacentral:rRNA from 1 species
UACGGGGGGGGCAAGCGUUGUUCGGAAUUACUGGGCGUAAAGGGCGCGUAGGCGGUCUGUUAAGUUCGGUGUGAAAGCCCCCGGCUCACCUGGGGAACUGCGCCGGAAACCGACAGACUCGAGUACCGGAGAGGAGGGUGGAAUUCCUGGUGUAGCAGUGAAAUGCGUAGAUAUCAGGAGGAACACCGGUGGCGAAGGCGGCCCUCUGGACGGAUACUGACGCUGAGGCGCGAAAGCGUGGGGAUCAAACAGG